UUUGUUGUGGGGGGACAAAAGACCACAGGCUAGCUUAGCCUCAUAGCUGCCUGGGGCUGAAUACCCAACCGAGAGCGAAGAGCUUGGCCGCGGGGAUGCGGGCACCAAGAUUCCAACCCGGGACCUCUAGGGAGAGGGUGGGUGAGGCUGGGCCAACUGGGCUACCCCAGAAGGUUCAUUGGCUAAGUUAGUGUGAUGGUUGGUUCUUUGAAGGUUCGUUCGUGAUAGGGCUACACUGUAUUACCUAAUGGGGAAUCAUGAUAUCAGUUUUGUGCCCAAGGAAGCCACUUGCAGAGAAAAAAAAUCUGCUGCCCCCUGGAGCUGGUGCUGACUGAAGCUGAAAAAGAUUAUGCGGUAAAUGCUAUGAUGCACAUAUUCAACAAACAUGUCGUGAAAUACGGUACCGGAGCAGUUACUGGAUAAAUGCUUCUGAAGCGGAAUAAUUUGCUGAGGUGGCCACGAAGCCAUUGAAAGCCCUUUCAUAUGAUACAUCUGGUCGAAGUUUAUGGCAUUUGAAUAUCCAUAAGGGGUCCCAUCUUAGCUGUUGGUGGAUUUUUUAACGUGUUGAAGGUUAUCGUCAAAGAGUUAAUGCGGUAAAAAAUCAGAUAUCGGCAUCGGUAUCGGUGAUAUAUCACGAUAUUAACUGCAUAGUCUCUAUCUAAGGAAGUCAAGUAUGAGC
rnacentral:lncRNA from 1 species